UCCAGACUCCUACGGGAGGCAGCAGUGAGGAAUAUUGGUCAAUGGGCGUAAGCCUGAACCAGCCAAGUCGCGUGAGGGACGACGGCCCUACGGGUUGUAAACCUCUUUUGCCGGGGGACAAACGGCGGCACGCGUGCCGCCCUGAGGGUACCCGGAGAAAAAGCAUCGGCUAACUCCGUGCCAGCAGCCGCGGUAAUACGGAGGAUGCGAGCGUUAUCCGGAUUUAUUGGGUUUAAAGGGUACGCAGGCGGAGGUGCAAGUCAGUGGUCAAAUUGCGGGGCUCAACCCCGUACUGCCGUUGAAACUGCAUCCCUUGAGUGCGCGAGAAGUAUGCGGAAUGCGUGGUGUAGCGGUGAAAUGCAUAGAUAUCACGCAGAACUCCGAUUGCGAAGGCAGCAUACCGGCGCGCAACUGACGCUCAUGCACGAAAGCGUGGGUAUCGAACAGGAUUAGAUACCCUCGUAAA
rnacentral:rRNA from 1 species